rnacentral:rRNA from 1 species
CAUGUCCUUUUGAUAAUGAUUUAAGGUCUAAUCUGCUCAAUGAUAGUUUAAAUUGCCGCAGUAUUUUGACUGUGCAAAGGUAGCAUAAUAAUUAGUUUCUUAAUUAGAAGCUGGAAUGAAUGAUUGGACAAGAAAGUUUCUGUCUCUUUUUUAUUAUUUUUGAAUUUUAUUUUUAAGUGAAAAAGCUUAAAUUUUUAUAAAAGACGAGAAGACCCUAUAGAGUUUAAUAAUUUAAUUUAAUUUAAUGUUAGUAAUUUUUGUUAUUUUGAUUUAUUUAGUUGGGGUGAUUUGAAGAUUCAAUAAAUUCUUUAAAAAGUUAAUUAAUGAUUUUUAAUUUUUAUAUUUAGGAUUAUUAAAAUUAAAAUAAAUUACCUUAGGGAUAACAGCGUAAUUUUUCUUAAAAGUUCUUAUUUAAAGGAAAGUUUGCGACCUCGAUGUUGGAUUAAAAUUAAUUUUUGGUGCAAUAACUUAAAAAUUGGGUCUGUUCGACCUUUAAAAUU